UCUGGAUAAACUUGUAUUCAUCCAAGAGAAUGGAGCAAGUCACUUUACAGAAUUAAAAUAAGUAAUACAUUUCAGUAUUGAUAAAGACUUACAUAUAAGUGAAAUUCUGAAAUGAUAGGAUAACCGUAUGUCCUUUAGUACAGUUUGUAUUAUAAAAAUAAUCUUGAUUAACUUUAGUUGAGUUUUCAAGUUACGGUGUG
ncrna:unclassified sequences IS605-orfB-I RNA